rnacentral:rRNA from 1 species
UACGUAGGCAGCGAGCGUUGUUCGGAGUUACUGGGCGUAAAGGGUGUGUAGGCGGUUGUUUAGGUUUGGUGUGAAAUCUCCCGGCUCAACUGGGAGGGUGCGCCGAAUACUGAAUGACUUGGAGUGCGGGAGAGGUGAGUGGAAUUCCUGGUGUAGCGGUGAAAUGCGUAGAUAUCAGGAGGAACACCGGUGGUGUAGACGGCUCACUGGACCGUAACUGACGCUGAGACACGAAAGCGUGGGUAGCAAACAGG